GCAUAGUUUUUAGAGAAGACAACAAUGGAAAACAUGGACUUUUCAAUUGCUGUAACAAGUGCUGGCGAUAUUUUCUCGCCUUUGGCAACUUCAUUGGCGUCCAUGAAAGUCUCGAUCCCAUAGUUGCACAGUGCUUCAUAGAGGUGGGCAGUGAAGCCAUUGCGGGUGUCUUUUCCCCUAAAAUUCAAGAAAACAUCGUAGCGCCACUGACAAGAAGAUGCAGCAGCCAUUGCCGGAUCAUGUGCAGAGAGUAGAGACAUGAAAUAGUCGGAGCUCUUAGCAAAUCAACCUGCGAAAGAAAAAGGGUACAAUUGUAAUAAUUCCAAAGACGGAAUUAUAAUGAAAACCGUGAGAGAGGUUGAAGAAGUUAUCUUCGAGUUAGAUCAUGGAAAAGAGAAGAAUUCCUCAAUUUCAUUUCUAGAAGUCUUGGCAAAGGGUUUGCUCUCAAAAGAAAGAAUAGCAGUGGAAGUAUCAGGAAAGACUUGGGAUCCAUUUCAAAGGAAAAAGAAACGAGUAGACAACACGGCAAAACGACCAAGCGCAAGGCCCAAAGAAGUGGAAACCGCGUCCAAUGGUCCGAUAAUUCCAAGAAAAAAGAGAGAAGUGGGCCAUUUACGUCACUUGGGCUAUAAUAAAGAAAAACACAUCAAGGUCCUGUCGUUUUAGAAGGCAAAGUUGUUAGGAAUCACCAAUACAACUUAAAUGUACGUAAUAUGCUUUUUGUGAAUUUGGACUGAGUACUAUAAUAUUGUUGAGAUGGAAUUUAUGUUAACCUACGUAAUCUAUUUCUACUUAAUAAAUAAGUUGUUUUUUAUUCAACCUCUAUGACAAAUUUUUGACCCAAAUCGACCAUUUUAUUAAUCAUGUUGAUUAAAUUUGUUAUAACUAUAACUUAAUCCAUAUUUUGAUCAUUUAAAAUUUGAUUUUGAAUAAAUAAGUUAAUUAAAUCAUAAUUAUGUCAAAUUAGAAAGUUAAUACUUAUAUAAGACUUAACUUGAUCAAAUUAUCAAAUUGGAUCUUAUUAUUAAAUGAAUUUAAUGAGUAAAAUUAAUUAUGUGAUAUUUAGGUUUAUAUUUUUAAUCUGACCUAUUUAAUCAAGUGUCUGACAAGACGCAAACACAACCCAUUAAUAUGAAUUGUCACCCCGGUUAAUCUCCAAUAAUCUAAAUUAAUAAAUUUGAUGUUCUUAUGUUUCGAUAUUGAUUGAAUCAAUGAAUUCUUUAUGAUUCUGUAACUUUUUUGAUGUAAUGAGUGUAUAAGUAGGAAAACAUUUAUAAAUUCAUCAAUCAAUGCUACGUAAAUGAGAAAAUUAAGAAAAAAAAAAAUUAAAGGUUUAAGAAAUGUUGGAUAAAUAACAGACAAACAAAGAAUGAUAUUAUAGCAGGUCAAAUUAUCAAUUUAGAGUAAUUUUGAACUUUCAUGCUAUGGAAAUGGCCCCAGAAGAAGAAAAGUUUGGAUUUUGAGGUGAUUAUCUUAUUUCUUGUGGGUGGGCAUGGCAGGGAAAUAAGGGGUUGUGGGGUUGGGGGGGGGGGCUCUUAUGCUCUGCAAUAUGUGGGAUAUAUAAAUUGGGAAUUACCUCAUGAUUAAAAUGACAUUACUUAUAAAAAUCAGAGUUUUCUUUCUUGCUUUUUACUACCACAAGACUAAGCUUGGAACUUGAUGGAAAAAAAAUCACCUAAAUUCAGGAUCAGGGGUAUCUGGAAAUCUUCCUGUCAUCAAUAUAUGGUCCACUAUUCUUCCAAGUCCAUGUCUAAGAACUGAUCGAUAACCAGCUCUGAAUCCAUCUCCAUAUACUGAAGUAUCCGAUUCAAUCAUGUAUUUCAAGAACUCGCCAAACUUCCUCUCAAACUUAGAUCUCGUGCCCUGUCUUGAUGGAGAUGGAAGUGUCAUGGAUGAUGAGGUUGAUGCAAUAUCACUGCCAUAUCUCGACAUGAGCUCGGUGUUCAACCACAUGUAAGCUAGCACCUGACAGAUACCUCCUUCAGCAUGCUGAGUAAGAGAUCGGCGGCCUUGAAGCUGCAGCCAUACACGCAUCAUCAGGUGAGCUAGGAUUGCCCCAGUCAGCAACCUAGGAAGGCCAUGUAAAAUGCGAAAUGUGGUUAAUUUGAAACCAGGUACCCCUUUGUAGGGCUCCUUGAUCAUGUCUACGAGAGUACUGCUCUUUUCUCUCCCUGUGGAUUCACUUGGUGACUGUCUCUCAACCAAGAGUAAUGGAACUUGCUGCCCCACUACGAUAUUUAAGCUUUCACAGAACCUUUGCACAUUAAGAUACAGGGGCUGGUAUUCAUGAGUGUCCAUGAUUGCAUGGUCUAGAUGAUAAAAUAAACUGAGCAAAAGUAUAACCAGAACAGAGAAACAAUUCCACACUUUAUUUGUACCGAGACAACCAAUAAAUAGGCAAUACAAUCAACUGGCUUGACAAAGCCAUAACAACAAAGGCAUAAAAAUAGGACCAUGAAACCAUGUUUCAAUAAAUCUACUACCACCAUCACCAAAAAUCAGGAGAUAAUAAAGAGACUCAAUAAACAAUUUCCUAUAGACAGGGCAACAUAACAGAUAUAAGACUCAACAUAAAACAAUUUAUUAAAGACUUGGUCAAAUGACCCAUUGCACGAAGAUAUUUUAUCACCAGACACUCCAGGCAGAGCUUGCGUCCAUCUUUAAGAGUUGUAUAUCUUGUGUCCCAUGGCUCCUUUCGCUCACAGCUAAAGCAGGAAGGAGUUCCAUCAUGCUUAUGAGAAGGACAGUACUUCUGGACCCAGAAAGGAUGUUCCCUAUCUUCCAUAAGACAAGCAGGGUUUGCCCAAAAGAAAUGCCCACAAACAUCGCAUUUUUGGCGACACUUUUCCUUGUAGCAAGAUUUAUGAUAAGGUGACUCUCCAGAGAGAAAGAAUUCAUAGUCAGAGAUUGGGUGCUUACAAGCAUGGCAUCUAAAACAUUCUGGAUGCCAAACUUUGCCUAUGCACUUCAGAUAUCGCCUCAGAAUAAUCUCGGUACCGCAACCAGCACAGAUCUUGAACCCGGUCAAAACAGGGAAUGGAAUGGCUUGAUAGAUACUUUCAUUUCCAAAAGGAGGUGGAUAAGUAUAAAUAAGGUCUUCCUGUAUGGAUCUGGAAAGUUGUUCAUUUUCCUCUGACUGAGACUCAUUAUCCAUUAAUUCACUUCUCCAUUUAAGUUUGCUCUUCCUGGAUAGCAAAGAACCGACAUUAAUAUAUUCUAUAACAUGGCUGGAGAGCUUCAUGAAAACUUCUUUGUGAUGAUGUUGUUGAAAGAGCCUGAUAGCAUUUUUCAGACUCAGUUUCUCAGCUUCUCGUAUUUCAUUCACUCCAAACGUAAUUAACAGAUGUUUUCCUCUAGUGGUUAUAAUUAUUCUACUUCCAGGACCAAACUGAGGAUUCUUUCCAGCUAAGAAUUCUAACUGCUCUAAAUUAGCCACAUCAUCCAAAACAAUAAGAACCCUUCUGGAGCGGAGCCUUGCUUUCAUAGAAGAGAACCCUGUGCUGGAACUGGACGCACCUAAUAGCUGGUAAAAAAGCUUCCUAUACAAAUAAGGUAAGCCAUAUUUUUCCGAAUCUUCUCUAACAUUUUCAAGAAAACAGCAACCAUCAAAUUGGCCAGAGAAGUGAUCAAAAACAGCUCUGGCAAGGGUCGUCUUCCCUAUUCCCCCCAUGCCCCAGAUUCCUAUAGUGAGAACAUCUUUCCCAUUUAUGGCCAGCUCGGUGUCCUUUGAGGAUCUGCAAAUCAUGCUAUUCGAAAUAAGUCCAACGAUUUCCUUGAUAAGCAUGGACUCAGGCCUGCCACAUUUGAAGUGCAUGCAAACACGUGGUAAUUAAUUAAUCAGGACUAGCCAUAAAGGAACAACUAAUAAAAAUAGUACUUAGUAUAACAAUAUAUAGAUGUUUUCAUUGCAGCUAUACGUAUAAACACAUUAAGAGCCGGUUUGGGAGUGAAGCUAGCACUUUUUUAUGCUUAAAAGCGAUUCUAGUAAAUGCAAAUUUUACAUUUAGGAAGAUUAAGGUAAUAGAAAAACUAAUCCUCCAGUAGUUUUAAAAGUCGAUAAUCAUAAGGAAAAUGCUUUGUCCAUUCAAAGGUAAUUACACGAGAUUAUGACUUCCAUUUGCGAAUAAUCCUCUUGAACCCUUUUGAAAAGGUAAUUAGAAAAUUUCCCUCUCAUAAAAUGGGGAAAAAAAGGGAAGAAGCCUUUAGAUCAAAUAUACACAAGUAUCUUAAAAAUGAAAGCCACAUGACUUUGUAUGUCGAUCAACUAACCAAAUGCUUGUUGUAAAGCAAAUCAUGAAUCUGUUUCAUGAUAAUUUUAAUAAGCACUUCUAACAUUUUUAGCACUUAAAAAUUUUACUGAAAAGUUGUUUUUAACUGUUACAAAAACUAUAAAUGUUUUUUAAAAUUAUUAUCGAACAAGCUCAAUAUAGGCUUGUUUUUAGCCUUACAAAGGAUUCUAUUAUAUAUAAGAGAAACAAUUUUAUUUAUAACUAAUAUGAGACAAAUAGGAAUGUAAAAAGGCUUUUUAAGAAUUUAUUUAUAGAAACAAUAGUUAAUAAAAAUUAUUAUCUUUGUUCAUAUUGCCAUUGAUAAUGCAAUAAUAAAUCAAAGAGCAUAGUAAUAUCAAAUAGAAAUUCAAAAACAUAUACGAUAAAAGUGAGAAAUUUUGUAGAACUUUGACUGACUUAAUGGUUCCAAAAGUAAAAUCCAAAAGAGAAUAUUGAAAGGGAAUCCUGACCCACCUUUGUUUCUCUAGCUAUAAUUAUAAAUAAAUGUUUGAAUUCCCCCAUUUUAGGAAGUAAAGUUGCUCAAUAGCUUCUCAACAAAUUCAGAAAAAUUCAGUACCCCACCAAAAUAUUUCACAGAUUACAUUAGUUCUUCUUACCUUUAAUUCCUCCAUGAAUUAAUUAUCAAAAGUAAUCUCCCAACAAACAAUAUUUCAAAAGAAAAAAACCCCAAGGUUGAGAAGAUUUAGCUUUAGCAUUACUGAGUAUAGAAAGGUUACCUAUGCCUGGAAUCCCAGCCGGAUAAACUGGCAACUUCAGUGAGAGCCUCCUUCCAAAUCUGCACUCUCACCAUCUCCUUCAACUUCUGUUCAUGUUUAGCAAAGGCUUUUGCGAAACUCCCUUUCUGUCGUCGUACAUCAGAAGGAUCCACCUGGUAGAAGAUGGGUAAAACUGUUUGUCCCAUGGUGUUUUUGCAGUCGAGGAUCUUCACAAGCUCCUCCAAGCACCAUGUGGAAGAAGCAUAGUUUUUAGAGAGAACAACAAUGGAAAACAUGGACUUUUCAAUUGCUGUAACAAGUGCUGGCGAUAUUUUCUCGCCUUUGGCAACUCCGUCGGCGUCCAUGAAAGUCUUGAUUCCAUAAUUGUGCAGUGCUUCAUAGAGGUGGGCAGUGAAGCCAUUGCGGGUGUCUUUUCCCCUAAAAUUCAAGAAAACAUCGUAGCUCCGCUGACAAGAAGAAGAUGCAACAACGAUGGCCGGAUCGUGUACAGAGACUAGAGACAUGUCGUAGCUCUUUGCAAAUCAGCC
rnacentral:lncRNA from 1 species